GAGGGAAGGUGGCUCAGGGAGGGAGGUCAAGCCGGUAGUCUGUCUGUGGUAUAGCAGCCGCACACACCUUGUUGGAUUGAAGCCUGUGGAUUUAUUCCCUGUGAGCGCCAGCGACUGUUGGACCGUUCACCCUCACGUUCACCCUCACGUUCACCCUGUCGUUCACCCUCACGUUCACCAUAUGGGACAAGUGAACACACACAAGAAUGAACGAGUGUCAAUAACGAGGCGUAAUAAUAUACCAAGAAGAAAUACCCUUGUGUGACGCCCCUGAGUGGGUGUUACAGUACUCAUAACCUUACCUGCAGCUUAGACAGGUGGGAACAAAACCAAGUAUUCCUAUAUUACAUUGUGUUUUGUCAUAAGCAACAAGACAGAACAGUGGCGGAGGGACAGUAAACUUGUAUUCAGUUAAAUGUGCAGUCAUGGUGAAUAGUUGAGUAACAUACCACUCCGUGCUUACUGUUUUUAGUGUUAUUCAUCUAUCUUAAGUCCUUUAAUGUGCUGACUAAUUAGGAUAAAGAGACUCGUGAGGAGGGAAGUUGUUGUGUGAACAGGACGUAAAUGCUGCGUUGUCUGUGAUGUAUAAAAAUAAGAGUGGGAAGGGGAAGAUUUUACUUACGUUUGUUUCGUUUUAGCAUGAGCGGAAGGUUCCAGCCAGUGUCGUUAGUGCAAUAAAAAUUUUAACAUAGGGAAAAGUGCUACAGAAGCUUAACGUAGAAAUAUUCUGACAUCAAAGAAAAAAGUUGAACACAAAGAUAAUCUCUUUGUCUGAGCAUGAGUGUUUGUAAUCAGAAUAAAAAUGGUUCUGAAAAAAAAAAUAAAAAUGUAUGUAAAAUGUA